rnacentral:rRNA from 1 species
GACGAAGGUGACGACCGUUGCUCGGAAUCACUGGGCAUAAAGCGCGCGUAGGUGGCUUGGUAAGUCCAUGGCGAAAUCCCUCGGCUCAACCGAGGAAGUGCCGUGGAUACUGCCGAGCUUGAGGACGGGAGGGGUGAGUGGAACUCUCGGUGUAGCGGUGAAAUGCGUAGAUAUCGAGAGGAACGCCGGUGGCGAAAGCGACUCACUGGACCGUAUCUGACACUGAGGCGCGAAAGCUAGGGGAGCAAACAGG